GUCUCAAUAGCUCAGUUGUUAAAGCACUGGCGCGGUACGCCACAGGCCCUGGGUUCGAGUCCCGGUUGAGACU
rnacentral:tRNA from 1 species